ACAUAAAACACUCUACUGUGGAGACAAUCUGUGAGACCAGUAACAAGCCAGCUCAGAGACUCAGGGAUAGACUACAGAUGGACAUUACGAAGAGGCCUCAUCUCGCCGUCCAAAGCAGGCCCUCUUCCUUCGAGCAUAGGGGCUCCCAGAGAGAUCCAACCCUCAAGAGAUCCUGGCCACAUCGCAUGUAUGGGACCCCUCAAGGAUUGUCCCUUUGUCUCUAUGUUCUUAAUUAUGAAAUAUAGGUACAGAGUUCUAUCUCUAUUUUGAUAUGAUCAAACGCCUUAUGCAACUCACCUAAUCAAUAUAAUUUCAUAAUCCAGUAAUUUAACUGCUAGCUUAACCCUACUUAUGAAGACGGGCUCAAAUGCCAGCUAUGUCCUGAAUAAUAUGAUCCUAGUACUACUUUAGAUACCCGGGACCAGCUACUAGUUACGCCUGCUUUCGUGCUAAUGUUUAUCGAUAAGAAUACCUGUGUUCAUGUUAUCUCUAUCCCAUGCUACCUUCAUUUAAAAUUGUGCUACUGUUUAUAUGCCAUGCUCGCUGUUCAAUGUACAAAUCCACACUGCUAUGUUUAUCUUUAUUCUGAAACUGAG